rnacentral:rRNA from 1 species
UACACUCCUGCGGGAGGCAGCAGUGGGGAAUAUUGGACAAUGGGCGCAAGCCUGAUCCAGCCAUGCCGCGUGAGUGAUGAAGGCCCUAGGGUUGUAAAGCUCUUUCACCGGAGAAGAUAAUGACGGUAUCCGGAGAAGAAGCCCCGGCUAACUUCGUGCCAGCAGCCGCGGUAAUACGAAGGGGGCUAGCGUUGUUCGGAAUUACUGGGCGUAAAGCGCACGUAGGCGGAUCGAUCAGUCAGGGGUGAAAUCCCAGGGCUCAACCCUGGAACUGCCUUUGAUACUGUCGAUCUGGAGUAUGGAAGAGGUGAGUGGAAUUCCGAGUGUAGAGGUGAAAUUCGUAGAUAUUCGGAGGAACACCAGUGGCGAAGGCGGCUCACUGGUCCAUUACUGACGCUGAGGUGCGAAAGCGUGGGGAGCAAACAGGAUUAGAAACCCGUGUAGUCCCAUG